UUUUUUUUACGAAAAUGAAAGCUGUUUUCUUACGAACAUUUUGAGGAAUAAAAAAAGAGAAAAUUUCUUUCCUAAUACAAUGGUGUACGUUUACCAUCUAACCCAUCAUCUCCAUCAUCUCCUACCAUCAUCUCUAUCUCCUCAAACUAAGUAUGUAUUUCAAAUAUCAGUCUGUCGAUAGACCUACUUCAAAAUUUCUCUUUUUUCGUACGCAAAAUAAAUAACGUAACGAAAUGAAAUUCUAGUUCCUGUUUUUUCUCCAACUAUUAAUUUUUUUAUUUUUUUAUUAAAUAUUUUAAUCAUUCAAUAUUUUUUUUUCUUUUUAAGCUAAAUAUUUAUAUAUUAUCUCUAUUCUAUCUACUAAUAUUUUAUUAUUAUAUUAACUAUUUAAUUUUGAUACUUUUAGUUUAAAAUAUAUAAUUAAGAUUUGAAUUUAUCAGAAUUAAAAAAUAUAAAAAAUAUUCAAUGUAUAUCUAUAUCUAUAUCUACACUAUAUAUAAAUUUUAUAAAAUAAAAAAAAUUAUAUAAUUAUUGUUGGCAACAACUAUUUAAUUUUGAGUUAGAAUAUGCCAAAUAUUUUUUAUUAGUAUAUAAUAAAUGAAUUUAUUUUUUAAAAUUUAAAUUUUAUAUUAUAAAUUUUUGAAUAAAUAUGAUAUAUAAAUUUAUAUUAAAUUGAGAUAGUUAUUAAAAUAUUUGUUACGUGCAUUUGCAUGUAUACUCAACUAGUAUUUAUGCACAUAUGUAUAUACUCAACUAGUAUGUAUGUAUAUACGGCAUAAUUAUCUCCAUCGCCUACUUGUCAACUCAACCAUCUCCAUCUCUUUUGUCAAAUUACUCUAUCUAUACAAAAAAAAUACUUAAAAUUUAUUUUAUUUAAUUAUUUAUUAUCUAUAUUGUAAACAAUUGUAAAUAUUAUGUUAAAUUUAAAAUGUUGAUAAUCUCACUCUCCUUUUGUAGAAAUUGUUUAUAUACAAAAAAUUUUCAACUAAACACGUGAAAUAGAAAUAAAAAAUUGAUUCUUAUUUUAUUUCGUACCAACCGAACACAAAUACAUGAAAAACUAAUUUUCUUUUCCGUUCAACCAAACAACAGAAGCUAAAAAAAAAUUUCCGUAAAUUUUUUUUUUUUCUGAGAAAAUAGUUUCUACUAUUUUCCAAGGAACCAAACAUGCUCUAAAGCUAUGCUACUAUAGGGCAUUUUCACUACAACAUAAUUAGAUUAUAGAGACACAUGUUUGGGAUAGUUUUGUGUAAGUGUCCCAUUUAUACCCAAGCUUUUAAAAAAAUCUACUAAGACCUAAAUAUAAAGUCCAAUCUAACAAAAAAUAAAAUGUUACUUUACUCAACCCACCCCACCCAGCCCAUUCGGCCCAAUUACAAACAGAAAAGGAAAAAAAAAAAUCGAUCACCAUCUCCCCUUCUUCCCUCACUCAAUCCACUGAAAUCCUAGACGAAAAGCCUUUCGCUCUCCUCCUCCUCCACCACCGCAGCCAAUGAGGUAGAGUUCUAACGGUUGUUAAAUGUAUAAAGAAGUGUUGGCAAAUUAGCAGCACUCUUUUUAGGCUAUACCGAUACUCUUAAACUGUCACUAUAUACCUAGCGACCCUAUAUAUAGCAACACUUUUUAAAAAUGUUGGUAAUUUAGCCAGUAGCACUUUUUUUGACCGGUACCGAUAUUUAAAAAUGUCGCUAUAUACCGUUUUUAUUGUACUGUUUAUUUAUUCUGAGAAAAUAGAUUCUACUAUUGUUCAAGGAAC
rnacentral:lncRNA from 1 species